rnacentral:sRNA from 1 species
AACAUACUGAGUUAACACAUUUUCCUAGUAGUGAUAGAAUUUUCAGGGAAGCAAGAAACCAAGAAAAUUCUGGCUGCUACCUAAUUUUAAUGAAGUUGGCGAUUAUCUGCCCACAAGGUAUGAGAAGUAUAGAUGUGCAUUGCUCUACAAAUAUACAAUGCAAUAAGGCCCACUCGAAAUUCAUGAAAGGCUUGCCAAGCCACAUGGCUUGAUUGGUCGUAGGUAGAUGCAUGAUGUCCCUCUUAGAAUGAGGCCCAUGUUUAAAAUCCACAUUUACAAAAGGAUUAGGUACAAUUGUGAUGUUUUGAGAUAACCAAAGUGUGUCAUGAAAAAGAACGUCAAGAAGAAAGGCAGAGGAACUCAUGAGUUUGAAUGGUUAAACUGAAGGCAAGAAAAAGUCCUAAGAAUAAAACUGAAAAAUAUUUUAAUAUGCCUGUGUAUCUUUCACAGAGUGGAUUCAACUGCACAUAAGAAGAACAUAAUGUUGAAGUCAUUUCAGAGUGCAAAUAUCAUUGAAUUGCUUCAUUAUCACCAGUGUGACUCUCGAUCAUCAACAAAAGCAGAAAUUCUGAAAUGUUUGCUAAACCUGCAAAUUCAGCAUAUUGAUGCCAGGUUUGCUGUCCUCCUAACAGACAAGCCUACUAUCCCCAGAGAAGUCUUUGAAAAUAGUGGAAUCCUUGUUACAGAUGUAAAUAACUUUAUAGAAAACAUAGAAAAAAUAGCAGCUCCAUUUAGGAGUAGCUAUUGGUAAGAACACUUUUUAUGUAACUUUCCCAUGUGAGUUGGAGUUGUUGAUGGCAAAUAUUGACAUUUGUGUCUAAGGAAACAGUUGGGAAACUGUUGUUUACAUACUUCAUGCUAUAAAUUUAAAGUGUUUGUUUAGGGGUGGAAUUGCUAUUUGGCAUAAAUAGGAAUUCCUAAAUUAUCACUAAAUGAAGUAACCAUCUACUAAAAUUACCUAUUUUAUCUAAUGUGCAUUUUCACUUGCUGUUAACUUGGAUUGUCAGUACAGAACAUAAUGUAACCUUAGAAUGCAUAGGCGUUUUCCCCAUUAGAGCAUCCCGCUUAUAAAAUAUUUCUUGUUCAUAUUAUUUUAAGAAGUUCUUUAUCAAUUUUGUGUUUCUUCAGGUGACUCAACUACAGCCUGCCUGGAUAUGGAUGAUGCCAAUAAAAAAUUAGUAUUUUCCCUUUGGAAAACUUGUGAACAUGUGAAUACACAUGUGAACAGUCUGAAAAAUCAAUGUUCUACAACUUGGAAAGUUUUCAUUUUUUAUAUUUUGCUGAAAUAUGUCACAGUGGCAUUGUAGUUGUCUGUUAGCUUUGGGUUGCAGUGCUACAUAUUGUUUUAAAUUAUUUUCAUUUUAAAUAAGAUGCCUUCUAAGCUAUUGAGCUUAUUAAAAAUAAUUUUACAUGUUGGAGCAAAAAUAAGUCUAUUUUAACAAAUAGCUUUGUUUUUGCAUGCUAAUGUCAGAAAGGCAUACAGUGCACAUUAUGCUGUUUUAAAGGUUUUACCACCCUUGUAAAAACUAUAAUCUUAAAUGGUUUUAUUUGCUGUUACACAAACAACACUACAUAAAACAUUUUUUCCUAAAUGGUACAAAUUUAUAAACUAUCAUUUUUCACUUACGGUAUUUGUAAAUACUACACUACAAAAAUCAGCUUUCUGAGAAAGAAAUAAUCAUUUAUUUAUGAUAUUGAAAAUUUCUACAGUAAACACUCAAAACCAAGCAAAAAACAUUUGUAAGAUACAUGGUAUCUAUUUGGAGCAACGGUUUUUGUAACUAAUGUGUUUCAUUUUUUAAAUAAAGACAACUAAAAAUCA